rnacentral:rRNA from 1 species
UUCCCCUUCGGGGGACAAAGUGACAGGUGGUGCAUGGUUGUCGUCAGCUCGUGUCGUGAGAUGUUGGGUUAAGUCCCGAAACGAGCGCAACCCUUAAGCUUAGUUGCCAUCAUUAAGUUGGGCACUCUAAGUUGACUGCCGGUGACAAACCGGAGGAAGGUGGGGAUGACGUCAAAUCAUCAUGCCCCUUAUGAUUUGGGCUACACACGUGCUACAAUGGACAAUACAAAGGGCAGCGAAACCGCGAGGUCAAGCAAAUCCCAUAAAGUUGUUCUCAGUUCGGAUUGUAGUCUGCAACUCGACUACAUGAAGCUGGAAUCGCUAGUAAUCGUAGAUCAGCAUGCUACGGUGAAUACGUUCCCGGGUCUUGUACACACCGCCCGUCACACCACGAGAGUUUGUAACACCCGAAGCCGGUGGAGUAACCUUUUAGGAGCUAGCCGUCGAAGGUGGGACAAAUGAUUGGGGUGAAGUCGUAACAAGGUAGCCGUAUCGGAAGGUGCGGCUGGAUCACCUCCUUU